ACCCCUAUAGCUCAGCGGCAGAGCGUUCCCCUCGUAAGAGAAAGCCCGAUAGUUCAAUCCCGCCUGAGGGCA